CCUGCUGCUUCUGUUAGGUCUGUUGGAGCAGAGGCCCACAUGCAGCUCCUUUGCCUGCUGGCUGAUGAGGCAAGCAUCAGCUGCUAGAGCACAACGGUUGAUGGGAUCAAUAUUACCUGAUGCUACACAGGAGCAGGUCCUCAAGCAAUUUAUCAGGAAGGUCAUUUGGAUAAGAGGGAGGGAAUAAAAGUAAGGAUAGAGCAGUUGUAACUGCUUAGUAUGAAUAGUAGUGAACUGGCAGAGAGGGUGAGCUGUGCUGAUACAAGCAAGACAUGCUGCGAUACCGCUUCCUGCCUACAGGCUGGUAGGUGAGCAUGAAGCACAGCUCCUCAGCAACACGAAGCCAGAAAAAUUGGUGUUGGGCUCUUCUCUAUCACCUGUCAGCACGGCGUCUCUGCUGUAGUGAGAAAAACAGCGGAAAUACCAUAGACAGGAAUGGAAGCCUCUUGGUGAGGAGACGAACGUCGGAUCAGGUUUCUGCUUUGGCAGAAAGAAGCCAUGAGGAAAAUGGCCAACUGUGUUUCACAGCAGAGGCCAUUUGUUAUAAAAUGGAAUGUUUCAUUGUUCCCACCACUGUCAGAUGGAGAAGCUGUGAUGAUGCAAGAAGUGAAGAUGCUCCUCUGAGUCAGUAUUCUGUCUCCCUCCCAUGGAAGGGAAAAGCACAGCUUUGUCAUUUGUGUGAGCGUUGGAGUAGAGCAAGCAAAAAUGAUUUGUUAGAAAUCAAUUUUCUUGUUGUCUUAAUGCAUCUAAAAUAUUUAGAGGAAAUAUGUUUAAAAGCUAUUACUAUGGUUUACAUAUACUGCAAGUUUUAAAUAAUGAAUUUGAAAAAUGCUGCUGAAAACAGAGGGUGGUUCUCAUAACCAGGAGGCGAGGUGGGAGCCCAGGCUGCUGUGGGUCAGCAAAGGGCAGCAGGAAGGGUAACAUCCAUCACGCCUGUGCCAGCGGCUGGUAUUGGUGAUCUGCUUCCGCUAGCAGUAGUUAUUCUUCUGAAGGGAAAGCCUUCUAAACAAGGCUGUGAAUUGGUUUUCAUGCUCGCAUUGACAGAUUGGGAAAGCAGUUUGUUCUACCAAAUUUAACAAUGAUAUAUCAUUAUCACAACUUUGGGGGAAAUCUAUAAAAUCAAUAAGUUUGUAGCCUGAACAGGAUUUGUAUCGCUUGCUUGCUGUGCUGGUGUCAAAGCGUGAGCAUAUGGAUUGAGUCACAGCCUGAGAUCAAUGGAAUUUGUGGACAGUAAGCUCAAUAACAAGCCCUUCUGAAAAGAAAUAGAUGUAAAAAGCAAAUUUACUAGAGUAUAAAAAAA